rnacentral:rRNA from 1 species
CCUACGGGAGGCAGCAGUGGGGAAUAUUGGGCAAUGGGCGAAAGCCUGACCCAGCAACGCCGCGUGAAGGAAGAAGGCUUUCGGGUUGUAAACUUCUUUUGACAGGGAAGAGCAGAAGACGGUACCUGUCGAAUAAGCCACGGCUAACUACGUGCAAGCAGCCGCGGUAAUACGUAGGUGGCAAGCGGUAUCCGGAUUUACUGGGGGGAAAGGGCGGGUAGCCGGGCUGACAAGUCAGAUGUGAAAUCCCGGGGCUCAACCCCCGAACUGCAUUUGAAACUGGUGGUCUUGAGGAUCGGAGAGGCAGGCAGAAUUCCUAGUGUAGCGGUGAAAUGCGUAGAGAUUAGGAGGAACACCAGUGGCGAAGGCGGCCUGCUGGACAACAACUGACGGUGAGGCGCGAAAGCGUGGGGAGCAAACAGGAUUAGAUACCCUGGUAGUC